rnacentral:rRNA from 1 species
UACGUAGGGUGCAAGCGUUGUCCGGAAUUAUUGGGCGUAAAGAGCUCGUAGGCGGCCUGUCACGUCGACUGUGAAAACCCAGGGCUCAACCCUGGGCCUGCAGCCGAUACGGGCAGGCUAGAGUAUGGUAGGGGAGACUGGAAUUCCUGGUGUAGCGGUGAAAUGCGCAGAUAUCAGGAGGAACACCGGUGGCGAAGGCGGGUCUCUGGGCCAUAACUGACGCUGAGGAGCGAAAGCGUGGGGAGCGAACAGGAUUAGAUGCCCUGGUAGUCCACGCCGUAAACGUUGGGCGCUAGGUGUGGGGGUCCUUCCACGACCUCCGUGCCGCAGCUAACGCAUUAAGCGCCCCGCCUGGGGAGUACGGCCGCAAGGCUAAA